rnacentral:snRNA from 1 species
GGAUGUGAGGGCGAUCUGACUGCGACAUCUGUUACCCCAUUGAUCUCCAGGGUUGAUUCGGCUGAUCUGGCUGGCUAGGCGGGUGUCCCCUUCCUCCCUCACUGCUCCAUGUUCGUCCCUCCCCAAGCUGAGUGCUCUGUCAAAGAGAACAAACAGCCUUCCGGAAUAGAAAUGGACAGUCGAGGGUAUAGGAGUAGCUGCGCUCCCCUGCUAGAACCUCCAAACAAGCUCCCAAGUUGUACAUAUGAAAAAGCUAAUGCACUCUCCAAAUGAGCUCUAUU